UUGCUCACUUCCGCAGCACAUGAACUAAAAUUGGAACGAUACAGAGAAGAUCAGCAUGGCCCCUGCACGAGGAUGACACACAAAUUCACGAAGUGUUUCAUUUUAAA
ensembl:snRNA U6 U6 spliceosomal RNA